UUUUCUCUUUUUUUUUUUUUCCUCUCCUAUGUGCCGUAAUUUUUUUUCUUAGCAUUUUUCCCAUUGUGAAUGGCUACUUAUGCUUACAUUGGUACUAUCAUGUAGUGGUGGCAAGCAAAUCAGGUUGGGUGAAUUUGAAUUUGCUUAUUUUGGGUUAAGGUUAUUUGGAUUUUGAAUGGGUUUGGGUCGUUAACUAGUCAAGUCGUUGGAAUUCUUGUCAGGUCUUUUUUGUGAUUACUUUUCUUUAAUGAAAAAUUGAAACUCCAACUCAACUCAACUCAACUAA
rnacentral:misc_RNA from 1 species